AACGAACGCUGGCGGCAGGCCUAACACAUGCAAGUCGAGCGCGCCCUUCGGGGUGAGCGGCGGACGGGUGAGUAACGCGUGGGAACGUGCCCUUUUCUACGGAAUAGCCUCGGGAAACUGAGAGUAAUACCGUAUACGCCCUUUGGGGGAAAGAUUUAUCGGAAAAGGAUCGGCCCGCGUUGGAUUAGGUAGUUGGUGGGGUAAUGGCCUACCAAGCCGACGAUCCAUAGCUGGUUUGAGAGGAUGAUCAGCCACACUGGGACUGAGACACGGCCCAGACUCCUACGGAAGGCAGCAGUGGGGAAUCUUAGACAAUGGGGGCAACCCUGAUCUAGCCAUGCCGCGUGAGUGAUGAAGGCCUUAGGGUUGUAAAGCUCUUUCAGCUGGGAAGAUAAUGACGGUACCAGCAGAAGAAGCCCCGGCUAACUCCGUG
rnacentral:rRNA from 1 species